GCCAGUGUGGUGUAGUGGUUUGAUCUUUGACUAUGACUCUGGAGAUCAAGGUUCAAUUCCCUGCUCAGCCC
rnacentral:tRNA from 1 species